CAUCAUGGGAAUCCCUCAGCCACAUACACCUGUUGCACUACACUACAAAUGCAAGCAUGUCAGUUUUAUUCAUUUUAUGCAAAUCUUCGUACAAAUUUUAAAGGUAAUGCAGGCAAAACUUUGUAAGUAUAUGAGUGAUUGGAUGAAGCGGUUUGAUGACGUAACACGCUAUUUUAGUUUAAAAUACUUAUAAUGUUAUGAUAAAUGGUAGUUUUGUUGUUACUUUUACAAUAUUAUCCAUCCUUCAGUUUCAGCGAACAUGACAGUUAGCAGUGUAAUAACUCCUCUGUGAUAAAGAAAAACUAGCUUGUUUUCUUUUUGUGUGGGAGCUCGCACAGUGUUUCAACUUUACAGCCUUUUAAUAUGAAAGUCCUGUCAGUACACUUCCUUUUUACAUCAUUUCACACUUGCCCCGUGAAGGGCAACAGUCUGACGUCUGCUCAGCCAGGAAAGCUUCAGCUUGUUUCUUUCCGCACAUCUUCCUCUUCACUGUCGGUGGCUCACAGACAUGUUAACAAGCAUGGACGUAUCAAAGCUUUGCUUGAUUUUGCUGUUACCACUAGCUGUGUCCCAUGAUGCUGAAGAGACUGUUGUGAAGACAGUCAGGAGAGAACACGAUGUCACUCGGAUUUGCAACAAGGAAAGUCAGACUACUAUUGUUUUGAUUAUCUGUAAGAUCAAAAGACAGAGGGACACAGGAGGAGAGUGUCAUCUGCUGUAUCGACACGGAGAGAACGUUACUCAGGAAUGUGACCCCAGGUUCUCAAUAACAAAAGAAAAUCAGACUGCCUUUCUCGAGCUGACCAGUUUAACACCAGCUGAUAGUGGGAACUUCACCUGUGAGUGUACAAACACUGAAGGGACAUAUAUUGUCCAUAUCAGUGUCACUGUGGAAGGUAAAUGCAUUUUGGUUUCUUUAUCUGACACAGUUAUUCAGCACUGUGUUAGCAUUGUAUUGACCUGCUUAUGUGUUUUUUAUUCUUGUAAUUUGUUCAUUUCUUUUCUUCUUAUUUUCACUUACAGCAGUUUAAAUACUCUCACUGACUCAUUUAUCAGGUACAUCUUUGAACCCAGUUGGACCACCUUCAGCCCUCAAACAUGUCUUCAUGUUUUGUGGCACAACAAGGCGCUAAAAACAUUCCUCAAAGAUUCUCAAGACAUAUUGAAAUUACAUCAUCACACAGUUGCUGCAGAUUCGUCAGCUGCUCUUACUUGAAGCAAACUUUCUGUUCCACCACAUCCCAAAGGUGCUCUGCUGGAUUGAGAUCUGGUGACUGCGCAGGCCGUACAUGAUUUGAGCGCCGUGACAUGGUGUGGUAUCCUGCUGGAAGCAGCCAUCAGACGAUGGGUAUUUUUUGGGCAUAAAGACAUGAAUGUGGUCAGCAACAACCUUCAGGCAGGCUGUGGUGUUUAAAUGAUGCUCAGUGGUUACUACAGGGUCCAAAGUUUGCAAAGAAAAUCCCCCACAGAGCAUUACACCACCAGCAGUCUGAACUGUUAGAAAUCAACUCAUCGGGCAAGGCAUCGUUUUUUUAGUCUUCUGUUGUCCAGACUUGCAAACUGUAGCCUCAGCUUGCUGUUGUUAGAGGACAGCAGUGAUAUCCAGUGUGGUCCGCUCUGCCUCAAGGUUUGAUGUGUAAACAGCAUUUUUACCCAGAGAAUCACAGCUCACUGGAUAUUUUCUAUUUUUCAGACCAUUGUCUGUGAACAGAGAUGAUUGUGUGGGAAAAUCCCAGCAGAUCAGCAGUUUGUGAAGCACUCGGACCAGUAACAUGUGCCAUGUUGCUCUGUUUGAGCAUUGAUUUGCUGACAUUUUAUUAUUUUAUUAACCUUUAUUUAACCAGGAAGAUGAAGCUGACAUGUGAUUGACAAAUGAAAUGAACACUGAAAUAUUUGUGUUACACCCUGAACAGGUAUACCUCAUAAAGUGGCCAGUGAAUGUAUAUAAGCAGUUGGACCAAUUUCAGUUCAUAGUAAUAUUCAGAAAAGACUGCAAAAGAAGAAGAAGACAAAAGAAAAGAGCACAGUGACAAUAUUUAAAGCUCUGUGGUUAUAAAACUGGGGUUUCAUUACUUCACUCAGAGUUUCAGUAGACGUAAACUGUGUUUGAUUUGUGUUUUGAUUUCCAGGAAAUGAAAGUAAAUGAUUUUACUGACAAAUGCAUCUUUUCAAUGAUUUAGACACAAACGAGGCCCACACUUCAGCAGACAAAUCUUUUCCCGUUUAUCUGCCCGGUGUUGUGAUCAUCUUUAUAACUGGAGUUAUCGUGGGAUUUAUCUACUGGAGGAAAAGUAAUGGUGUUACACUAAUGCUGACAUCCUUUCUUAUCAACGUGGCUGCUUAAGGUCAGGAACAUCUGGAGUGUCUGUACCUGAAAAUCCCAACGGUUUGGAUGACGAUGAGCCAGAUCAGCCCUAUACAAACCUUCAGCAGCCAUCGAGUGAUUCCUACCAGACUAUCAUCUCAGUGAACCAUCAACACGACAACAAGACACGCUCAGCAAGAAGCGCAGGAACUGUGGGAGUGGAUAAUAAAGCUCUAUGAAACAUUUUAAAGUAUAUAACACUUUAGGUGACAUACUAAUAUAAUAAUAUUCAUAUAUUAUAAUAAACGUCCAUCUUUUCACACUGGAUAUUUGUUUCCCAGUAAUGGAGACCAUUCAGUCAUAAUACUCCAACUCAGGCUCUCAGAUUUAAUACAAUACAAACACAAUAAACUGUGGCAAACAUGACUCUUUGUAUCAGACUAGUUUUGUUUUUGAACAAACAUCUCAUCAUAAUUUGAACACAAUGUCCAUCCAGAUAAACAGAGAGAUCAGUCUGGCUUAAACAAUGUUGGUGGUUUACCUUCUACUGUCCUUCCACUUUUAUGCACUUCUAUUUUAGACAUAGUAAAAGUUUCAGUGUAGACACAAGAGGUGAAAUAAGGAGGGUGCAAGUCUUCCUGCUUUCACUAUAGUCACACUGUCAGCCACAGUUACUUCCUCACCAGCAUGACUGCACGGAAACUCUGCUUUCUCCUGCUUCUGCUUGUGGUUUUUAGCAGUGAAGAGACUCUUGUGAAGACAAUUGGAAAGAAACCCGAUUCCACUCAAAUAUGCAGCAAAACAACUCUGAAUAUUACUGUGAUGAUACUGUGUGAGAUCAGCACAGAGAGGAGCCGAGGAGAACAGCGUCGUCUGCUCUAUCGUUACGACCGAGGCUUUAUUCAUGGCUGUGACUCCAGGUUCACACUGAUCAAAGAAAAUGAGACUGUGUUUCUCCACCUGCUCAACUUAACAUCUGAAGACAGUGGGAACUACACCUGUGAGUGUGGAUUUCGUGGUGGAUUGUAUGUUCUCCAUCUCAGUGUGACUGUGAGAGGUAAAAACAUUUUCUAUUUAUACCCACACCGCAGAUUCAAGGUGGAUGUUUGGAACUGCGUUAACACUUUCUUUUCUGUCAUACAUGGUUUGAGGUCGUCAUUCCCGCCUGCAGCGGAUUAAUGAAAGGUUUCAGUCAGGAGAUGAACAUCUGGAAUGUUUUUAAGCUCUUCUUCUGGCUAAUUUUUUAAAUUUCAUUAUAAAACUGUGCUCCAAUCACAACUUUGGUGUUAUUUCAUCAGUGAAAUGUUUGAAUGAUGCAAUUGUAACUCUAAUGUAAUGAAAAGAUAAACAUGUUUUCCACUUUAAUAUAACAGGUUAAUGCAAAUUUUGUGACUUUUCAUGUUUUCAAAAUGAAGUUUUUUUGUGUGUGUGGCAACAUUCAACAGACGAUGGAGAUUCUUCUGGCAUGAAGUUCAUGGCUACAGUUCCCAUCAUUUCUGCUGCUGCUUCACUCAUCAGUGUGGCUGUGAUAACCUGUGGUUACAGCCUGAGGAGAAAUCCUCGCAGAGAAAACAGAUCAGGUCUAACUAACUUAACAGGAUCUGAAACUCGCCAGAUGUUUGACAAAGAGGACCGCUACAUGAGCCUUCAUCGGCAAAACAUCGAUGUCUACCAAACUAUCUCCUCCGGUCGCCUUCAUCAUGAUGCUGAGGCCACUGCAUGUCACAGUCAUGUACAAUAAUAAUCAGAGAUGGAGUUUUUAUCCUGACUACGUGAUCUAUAAAACUAUGAUGCUAGACAUGCUAUCUAUAAAAGACACUGACAUUGUAACUUGCCAGCAUCAUGUGUACUGUUAGUUUGUUUUGCACUGAAAAAAGAGAAAAAUAUUAACGUCCAGUAAAACUUGUAAUGAUGUUGUGAAUGAAUUGCCUUAAUUCAUGGCUUUUAACACCAUUUU